rnacentral:lncRNA from 1 species
CACUAAUUCCUGGUCAACUAUGGAAAUCUGUUUCUUCUCUAGUCCCCCCAAGGAGAAAUGUCACACCGAGUGUCCAACACAGUGAUCCUCAAAUAUACUUCUAAGCAAAACAAGGGCUUUGUUUACUCAGUCUUCAGAUUUUACUGUUCUGAAUUUUAUUCUGAAACUCAAGUUUACCCCAAACCAUCAUUGACAUAGUAGCUUCUUUGCCGCCAGGGCCAUCUUUCACUUUGAAGGCAAAAAUGCCACCGAUUUUCUUCACGAACUGUUCCCCUUCCUCUUCAAGCUUCUUCUCAAUCUCCUUAAAGACGAGGUUUGCCUUGAAUCCAUCCCCUGCAGAGCUGGUGGGAGCAGCUGAAACCUGGUGCGUCCUGAAGGAGCUGGCAGCUUCGGGAAAACCCAUCCUGUAGAGGGUGACAACCACAGCUCCUCCGAGGCCUAGAUUGU